rnacentral:rRNA from 1 species
UACGAAGGGGGCUAGCGUUGUUCGGAUUUACUGGGCGUAAAGGGCGCGCAGGCGGUUCUGUUUGUCGAGUGUGAAAGCCCCGGGCUCAACCUGGGAACUGCGCUCGAAACGGCGGAACUAGAGUUCGGGAGAGGAGAGUGGAAUUCCCAGUGUAGAGGUGAAAUUCGUAGAUAUUGGGAAGAACACCGGUGGCGAAGGCGGCUCUCUGGACCGAUACUGACGCUGAGGCGCGAAAGCGUGGGGAGCAAACAGG